rnacentral:rRNA from 1 species
UACGUAGGGGGCAAGCGUUGUCCGGAUUCAUUGGGCGUAAAGAGCUCGUAGGCGGCUUGGCAAGUCGGGUGUGAAAACUCCAGGCUCAACCUGGAGACGCCACCCGAUACUGCUAUGGCUUGAGUCCGGUAGGGGACCACGGAAUUCCGGGUGUAGUGGUGGAAUGCGUAGAGAUCCGGAGGAACACCAGCGGCGAAGGCGGCAUCCUGGACUGGUCCUGGACACCUCAUGAGCGAAAGCGUGGGGAGCGAG